UGGGUCGGAGGUUGGAGCGAGGCGCGCCCACGGCCGUGCCCGCGGGCGGGGACGGGUCCGACCGGCCGACCUCGCCCUCCGCGUCCCUCCGCCGCUCCCGGCCCCGUCCCCUCCUCCCUCCACCCGCCGCCGUGCGGCUGGCUCCCCUCCCCCACACCGGGAGUCGUGCCCCCUGCUGUGACACCCACCCGGAGGGCGCUGACCGCUGCGCGCACCCACCGAGAGGAACCGGGGGGCCCGGUCCGCUCGCUCCCGGCCGCACGGGCGGGCGGGGGCCCUGCCCACCACACCUGCCGGCCCCGCCUCCGCGCGCCUCCGGAGAGGGCGCGGCCCCUAGGACGCGCAGCCGCGAGCCUCGGCGCCCGACUCCCUGGGCCCCGGGGUGUCCUGCCCCCGAGGGGACCCCAGAAGUCCGACGGGGCGGCGGUGGCCGGAGGGGUCUCUGUAUCCUCCCCUGCUCUGCGAGAGCGUCUGAGCGCGAAGUCCGAGGAGGAGAGAAAACUGAAAUCUGAGUUUUCGCAGGAAGCGGCGCUCCAAGUCCCUUUCUCGAACCACUACCUGAACGAACGACGUUGACCGAGAGCGGCAGACACACGUUAACCAAGUGAAAUACAGAGCAAGCCGAGAGUUAGGGCCCCCAGAAGUCUCCGGCUGUGUGGGGCCGCCCGCCCGAGGAGAGGGGCGCCGUGCCACGUUAACAUGGAGGAAAGAUGGUCAGCAAACGUCCGGUCAGCUUUGAGGUCGAUGUAAAGCCAGCUUGGCGGAUUCUGCACGCAGAAGUUACUUUGGAUGUUAAAACAGAUACAUUUGGCUAUGUUAAGUAGACCACUUCUGGUUAAAUCUUCCCAUUUCUGUGAGAAUCUGC